AAGAACAUUUUACUGAGUUUUUAUGAUAAAUCCUACUUUGUGCAAGGACCCUGGAAAAAGAUAGGAUAAGUAAAUACGUAUGAAAUUUUCCACACUUAAAACUGAAUAUGGCAAAAAGACAAAAAGGAAUAACAUUUACUUGGUAAAUACUAGAAUGGGAUACUAGAAGAUUGCCUACAAUUUCCAUCCUUAACUUUCAGAGUUAUUCAUUUUGUUAUUGGUAAAGCUUCUCCAGUCUUAGGGAUCUGCAAUACCAUCUCAAUACUUCUUACACAACCUAUGUAUUUUACAACAGUGUGAGUAUAUAUUAGGUGAAAAUAACCAAUUUUUUGAGAUAGAAUCAUAAUCCUGUUUUAGAUAUCAAAGUAGGGUAACUUUUGCAUUUAGAACUUUGUUAGACACUUGUCUUUGUACAAGAAGGUAUUGAAUUAGAUGAUUUUUUAGCCAUAGCUCUCAGUUGCAGGGAUCUAUGAUGUGUAAGUUAAAGUUUAAAAUAAGGGAAAUAUAUAGAAAAUACUAUAAUUAGUGAAUAAAAUAUUUGUUCAUUUCCAAAAGAUGCAAAUUAUGUUACUUGCAACCAGUGUCUGGCCCUUGUUCACACCUUCUUCUAAACGUGUUGCUUCAAUACGUUGAUAGGUGAGGACACUUAAAAAUUAGACUUUAUAGAAAUAGGUUUUUUUUUGUUUACAUAUAUAGUUCUUUUGGUAUCAUAUAUUUAGCCUCUUUCUAAAAUUUAUUUUUUGAUACUGAAGGGAGAAAUAGGGAGUUAUUAAUCAACAGGCAUUAAUUUUAGUCAAGCAAAAUAAAUAAGCUGUAGCGAUCUGCUCUGUAACAUUGUACCUACAGCCAACAAUUAUAUGUUGUCCACUUAAAAAUGUGUUAGAUCUCAUAGCAACUCUUCUUACCACAAUAAAGUAAAAAUUCUGAAACAAUAAGUGAAUACCUAAAUAAUACAAACAAAUACAAUAUUGUAGUUUUGGGCACUUAAUAAAUGACAGCCUCAUUUCUCAAUUAGAGAUCAUCACAAGUUAGACAGAUGACGAUGAUCACAAAAGUUAGACUUUUUUAUUACUCACAAAGUCUAUGUUGGAGAAGGUGAGUUUCCCAAUACCCACCCUAA
rnacentral:lncRNA from 10 species